UACGUAGGGGGCUAGCGUUGUCCGGAAUCAUUGGGCGUAAAGAGCGUGUAGGCGGUCCGGUAAGUCCGCUGUGAAAGUCGGGGGCUCAACCCUCGAAUGCCGGUGGAUACUGUCGGGCUAGAGUGCGGAAGAGGCGAGUGGAAUUCCUGGCGCAGCGGUGAAAUGCGCAGAUAUCAGGAGGAACACCUAUUGCGAAGGCAGCUCGCUGGGACGUAACUGACGCUGAGACGCGAAAGCGUGGGGAGCAAACAGG
rnacentral:rRNA from 1 species